UGGCCUAUGGUGUAAUUGGCAACACUACUGAUUUUGGUUCAGUCAUUCUAGGUUCGAUCCUAGUAGGCCAA
rnacentral:tRNA from 1 species